rnacentral:misc_RNA from 1 species
CGAAAACAGAAAAUGGGUGGUGCUGAAAUAUUUACCUGGAGAAGACUAACAGAUGAUCAAUCAUUUGCGAGCCUUCCUCUUUCGACUGUUCUCAACCGAUCCAAGACUUGCCUGUACCUUGGCCAGAGUCUGGGUCUCAUACGACUUGGUCUCACUGCUCUCACCUGCUCUCACCUUUCCCUUACCUUUCUCCGAGGAGCCAUCAAAGGUUGAAUCAUCGCCAACAGUUCGCG